rnacentral:rRNA from 1 species
UACGUAGGGUGCAAGCGUUAAUCGGAAUUACUGGGCGUAAAGCGUGCGCAGGCGGUUUUUUAAGCUUGAUGUGAAAUCCCCGGGCUUAACCUGGGAACUGCAUUGAGGACUGGAAGGCUAGAGUACGGCAGAGGGGGGUGGAAUUCCACGUGUAGCAGUGAAAUGCGUAGAGAUGUGGAGGAACACCGAUGGCGAAGGCAGCCCCCUGGGUCAAGAUUGACGCUCAUGCACGAAAGCGUGGGGAGCAAACAGG